GNNNNNNNUGGGGAAUCUUGGACAAUGGGCGCAAGCCUGAUCCAGCCAUGCCGCGUGAGUGAUGAAGGCCUUAGGGUCGUAAAGCUCUUUCGCCAGGGAUGAUAAUGACAGUACCUGGUAAAGAAACCCCGGCUAACUCCGUGCCAGCAGCCGCGGUAAUACGGAGGGGGUUAGCGUUGUUCGGAAUUACUGGGCGUAAAGCGCGCGUAGGCGGAUCGGAAAGUUGGGGGUGAAAUCCCGGGGCUCAACCCCGGAACUGCCUCCAAAACUAUCGGUCUAGAGUUCGAGAGAGGUGAGUGGAAUUCCGAGUGUAGAGGUGAAAUUCGUAGAUAUUCGGAGGAACACCAGUGGCGAAGGCGGCUCACUGGCUCGAUACUGACGCUGAGGUGCGAAAGUGUGGGGAGCAAACAGGAUUAGAUACCCUGGUAGUCCACACCGUAAACGAUGAAUGCCAGUCGUCGGGCAGUAUACUGUUCGGUGACACACCUAACGGAUUAAGCAUUCCGCCUGGGGAGUACGGUCGCAAGAUUAAAAC
rnacentral:rRNA from 1 species